rnacentral:lncRNA from 1 species
UAUUUGAUAUUUUUUGUGAAUUUUCUCUUUUCUGGUUAUUUUUAAUUCAUUUUAAAUAGUUUUCAUAUUCAAAAAAAUACAAAAAUAUUUUCCUAACCUAUUUGAGUGAUGAUGGAUCUAUGAAAAAUAUUCUCAUCAAUUUUCAAAUUAAUUUGAGAUUUAUUUGAGAUUUUAGUUCCAUUAGGUUAUUUUUAUUCAUUUUUAAUUGAUUAAAAAUAGUUUCUGACUUUUAAAAAUGCUGAAAUUUUUUGUCAAACUUUGUU